rnacentral:rRNA from 1 species
CUUUUAUGGAGAGUUUGAUCCUGGCUCAGGACGAACGCUGGCGGCGUGCCUAAUACAUGCAAGUCGAGCGCAGGAAGCGAGUUGAUCCCCU